GAUGAACGCUAGCUACAGGCUUAACACAUGCAAGUCGAGGGGCAGCGGAGGAGUUAGCUUGCUAACUUCAGACGGCGACCGGCGCACGGGUGAGUAACACGUAUCCAACCUGGCCGUUACUCGGGAAUAGCCUUCCGAAAGGAAGAUUAAUGCUCGAGGGUAUAUAUUUAUCGCAUGAUUUAUAUAUUAAAGAUUUAUCGGUAGCGGAUGGGGAUGCGUUCCAUUAGAUAGUUGGCGGGGUAACGGCCCACCAAGCCUUCGAUGGAUAGGGGUUCUGAGAGGAAGGUCCCCCACACUGGAACUGAGACACGGUCCAGACUCCUACGGGAGGCAGCAGUGAGGAAUAUUGGUCAAUGGACGCAAGUCUGAACCAGCCAAGUAGCGUGAAGGAUGACUGCCCUAUGGGUUGUAAACUUCUUUUAUACGGGAAUAAAAGACAUUACGUGUAGUGUUUUGCAUGUACCGUUAUGAAUAAGCAUCGGCUAAUUCCGUGCCAGCAGCCGCCGUAAGAC
rnacentral:rRNA from 1 species